UUCCACCGGAGCUUGCUCCACCGGAAAAAGAGGAGUGGCGAACGGGUGAGUAACACGUGGGUAACCUGCCCAUCAGAAGGGGAUAACACUUGGAAACAGGUGCUAAUACCGUAUAACAAUCGAAACCACAUGGUUUUGAUUUGAAAGGCGCUUUCGGGUGUCGCUGAUGGAUGGACCCGCGGUGCAUUAGCUAGUUGGUGAGGUAACGGCUCACCAAGGCCACGAUGCAUAGCCGACCUGAGAGGGUGAUCGGCC
rnacentral:rRNA from 1 species